rnacentral:misc_RNA from 1 species
AGCAGCCGCGGUAAUUCCAGCUCCAAUAGCGUAUAUUAAAGUUGCUGCAGUUAAAAAGCUCGUAGUUGAAUUUCGGGAUCAAUAUGUUGGUCGUGCCUUGGUACGUACUAGCUCAUUGGCUUCUCCCUUCUGACGAACCAUGAUGUCAUUAAUUUGAUGUCAUGGGGAAUCAGGACUGUUACUUUGAAAAAAUUAGAGUGUUUAAAGCAGGCUCGCGCUUGAAUACAUUAGCAUGGAAUAAUGAAAUAGGACAUUUGAUUCUAUUUUGUUGGUUUCUAGGAUCGAUGUAAUGAUUAAUAGGGAUAGUUGGGGGCAUUAGUAUUCAAUUGUCAGAGGUGAAAUUCUUGGAUUAUUGAAGACUAACUACUGCGAAAGCAUUUGCCAAGGAUGUUUUCAUUAAUCAAGAACGAAAGUUAGGGGAUCGAAGACGAUCAGAUACCGUCGUAGUCUUAACCAUAAACUAUGCCGACUAGGGAUCAGAUGAUGUUAAUUUUUUAAUGACUCAUUCGGCGCCUUACGG